rnacentral:ncRNA from 2 species
CUGUUCCCUGGUAACUGGCGAUAAGAGUGGAAGAACCACAAGGGAGCCUGGGAAUAAGCAGUAAACAGUCGCUCGCCUGGGCUGCUUCA